rnacentral:lncRNA from 1 species
UGUUUUAAUGGUCUAUUUCGUGCUGGGUAUUUCGAUCAUUUUGAUUUCCCAGUAAUGGUCACUUCUUAUUUGGGACAGAUUUUGGGUCAUUUUGGUCUCUUGGUCUUAUUUGUGACGGUAAUUAUGUUGUGGGGGGUUUCUGGAAAAGAGACAUGAUAUGUUAACUGGGGUUAAGAAAGCAGUUUGACAUUUGAGGCGAGAAGCUUCUCCAAGAAGCCUCUAGCUCAAGUAUUGGAAUUGAGGAUUCUGAGGAGUCAACCUGCGGCACCAUCCGAUCCCUCUAUCACUGUGUCAUGCAUGAGAGGUUUGCAUUCCGCCAUUGUUUCCUCCUCUUUUCUGAGCUGUGAAGCUCUAGAUUUUAGGUACUUUCUUGAAUCUGAAGAAAUACCUGAUCUUUGUGCUCUAAAGUUGAUCACUUUACUGUUUUCGACUGGUUCUGCUCCUAUAUUGCGCUGAGAUUUAUGAAAGAGCAUUGUCUAUCUGCUGUUAAGUAGCUCCUUGUUCAUCUAUUGUUUAGUUGGGCGAUCUCUCUAUAAGAAGUAGAAUCAACUUAUUUCAAAUUUCAGUUUGCUUCAGUAGGAGUUCCACAAACUGAGUGCAAAGUGAUAGAGAAUGAUUAGAGAAUGUAUACAAAUAUAUAACAAUGAUAUAAGAAUGAUGUAAAAAAAGGUGCUCGAAUUCAUGUUAGAAGAUCAGGAAAUAAGUGGGAUAGACCUAAGCGAUCACAGAUUGUCCUCAUGAGAAAGGACUUAAAAAGAUUUUAAUAACAAUAGAGAAGCACCAUAAUAGUAAUUGUGGAUUCAUAAAGCUGCACUAAAUAGUCAGGACAAAGGCUGAUGGUAAUGGUUAUUUAGCAGCAUAGCCUCUCUAAAAGAUAUAUUUGCAUUACAAGUACAGGUAGAUGUUGGGUCACUAUCCAUUUUAACAAUAUGAAGGCAUUUAACUUCAAUAGUCCAACUACUAAUUCUAAAGAUCCAUAACUAUGUAGAUGGAUAAUGCAUGACUAAC